GUAUGAGGAGUUGCAUCCUCUGCUGUGCCCACAUGCGUCGUGGCGCGUGGCGGCCGCGCGUGGGACAGCAUAGAAUGCGGAUCCUUGUA
rnacentral:pre_miRNA from 1 species